rnacentral:misc_RNA from 1 species
GAAAUGCGAUAAGUAAUGUGAAUUGCAGAAUUCAGUGAAUCAUCGAAUCUUUGAACGCACAUUGCGCCCGCCAGUAUUCUGGCGGGCAUGCCUGUUCGAGCGUCAUUUCAACCAUCAAGCCCCGCGCUUGUGUUGGGGACCUGCGGCUGCCGCAGGCCCUGAAAACCAGUGGCGGGCUCGCUGUCACACCGGGCGUAGUAGAUUUUAUCUCGCUCAGGGCGUGCUGCGGGUUCCGGCCGUUAAAAAGCCUUUUUUACCCAAGGUUGACCUCGGAUCAGGUAGGAAGACCCGCUGCACUUAAGC